rnacentral:rRNA from 1 species
UCUACGGGAGGCAGCAGUGAGGAAUAUUGGUCAAUGGGCGGGAGCCUGAACCAGCCAAGUCGCGUGAGGGAAGACGGUCCUAUGGAUUGUAUACCUCUUUAGGCGGGGAGCAAUGCCGGGCACGCGUGCCCGGAGGGAGAGUACCCGCAGAAUAAGCAUCGGCUAACUCCGUGCCAGCAGCCGCGGUAAUACGGAGGAUGCGAGCGUUAUCCGGAUUUAUUGGGGUUAAAGGGUGCGUAGGCGGAUUUUUAAGUCAGCGGUAAAAUGUCCGGGCUCAACCCGGGCCGGCCGUUGAAACUGUUGGUCUUGAGUAUCGGAGAGGCAGGCGGAAUUCCUAGUGUAGCGGUGAAAUGCGUAGAUAUUAGGAGGAACACCAGUGGCGAAGGCGGCCUGCUGGACGACAACUGACGGUGAGGCGCGAAAGCGUGGGGAGCAAACAGGAUUAGAUACCCCAGUAGUC